rnacentral:tRNA from 1 species
GCCGGAGUGGCGAAAUUGGUAGACGCGCUGGACUCAAAAUCCAGUUCACCUCACGGUGAGUGUGGGUUCGACUCCCUCCUCCGGCA